AAGACUAUACUUUCAGGGAUCAUUUCUAUAGUUUGUUACUAGAGAAGUUUCUCUGAACAUAUAGAGAAAGAGA
rnacentral:snoRNA from 2 species